GAUGAACGCUAGCGGCAGGCUUAACACAUGCAAGUCGAGGGGUAUGCCGAUUUAUCGGCAGAGACCGGCGCACGGGUGCGUAACGCGUAUGCAAUCUACCUUUCACAGAGGGAUAGCCCAGAGAAAUUUGGAUUAAUACCUCAUAGUAUAGCAGUUUCGCAUGAAACCACUAUUAAAGUUCCAACGGUGAAAGAUGAGCAUGCGUCCCAUUAGCUAGAUGGUAAGGUAACGGCUUACCAUGGCUACGAUGGGUAGGGGUCCUGAGAGGGAGAUCCCCCACACUGGUACUGAGACACGGACCAGACUCCUACGGGAGGCAGCAGUGAGGAAUAUUGGUCAAUGGACGCAAGUCUGAACCAGCCAUGCCGCGUGCAGGAUGACGGUCCUAUGGAUUGUAAACUGCUUUUGUACGAGAAGAAACAACAUUACGUGUAAUGUCUUGACGGUAUCGUAAGAAUAAGGAUCGGC
rnacentral:rRNA from 1 species